rnacentral:rRNA from 1 species
AGACCCGAAACCCGGUGAUCUAGCCAUGGGCAGGUUGAAGGUUGGGUAACACUAACUGGAGGACCGAACCGACUAAUGUUGAAAAAUUAGCGGAUGACCUGUGGCUGGGGGUGAAAGGCCAAUCAAACCGGGAGAUAGCUGGUUCUCCCCGAAAGCUAUUUAGGUAGCGCCUCGUGAAUUCAUCUCCGGGGGUAGAGCACUGUUUCGGCUAGGGGGCCAUCCCGGCUUACCAACCCGAUGCAAACUGCGAAUACCGGAGAAUGUUAUCACGGGAGACACACGGCGGGUGCUAACGUCCGUCGUGAAGAGGGAAACAACCCAGACCGCCAGCUAAGGUCCCAAAGUCAUGGUUAAGUGGGAAACGAUGUGGGAAGGCCCAGACAGCCAGGAUGUUGGCUUAGAAGCAGCCAUCAUUUAAAGAAAGCGUAAUAGCUCACUGGUCGAGUCGGCCUGCGCGGAAGAUGUAACGGGGCUAAACCAUGCACCGAAGCUGCGGCAGCGAACGUAUCACUUAAAGCGAUUCAGCGGGUUACGAUUGACGGAGCGAAGCGACGUCAAAGCGUAUACAAAGUCGAGUCGGUUUAAGGAUACGUUCGUUGGGUAGGGGAGCGUUCUGUAAGCCUGUGAAGGUGUGUCGUGAGGCAUGCUGGAGGUAUCAGAAGUGCGAAUGCUGACAUAAGUAACGAUAAAGCGGGUGAAAAGCCCGCUCGCCGGAAGACCAAGGGUUCCUGUCCAACGUUAAUCGGGGCAGGGUGAGUCGACCCCUAAGGCGAGGCCGAAAGGCGUAGUCGAUGGGAAACGGGUUAAUAUUCCCGUACUUGGUGUUACUGCGAAGGGGGGACGGAGAAGGCUAUGUUGGCCGGGCGACGGUUGUCCCGGUUUAAGCG